rnacentral:rRNA from 1 species
GACGUAGGUGGCGAACGUUAUCCGGAAUUAUUGGGCGUAAAGGGUGCGUAGAUGGUUGGAUAAGUUAGUGGUGGGAAAUCGAGGCCCAACCUCGUGGAAACUAUUAAUACUAUCCGACUUGAGAACAGGAGAGGUUAACGGAACUCUAUGUGGAGCGGUAAAAUGCGAUGAUAUAUAGAAGAACACCAAUAAAGGCGAAGGCAGUUAACUAUUCUGUUUCUGACAUUGAGGCACGAAAGCGUGGGGAGCAAACAGG